rnacentral:rRNA from 1 species
UACGUAGGGUGCAAGCGUUAAUCGGAAUUACUGGGCGUAAAGCGUGCGCAGGCGGCUUUGCAAGACGGAUGUGAAAUCCCCGGGCUCAACCUGGGAACUGCAUUUGUGACUGCAAGGCUAGAGUACGGUAGAGGGGGAUGGAAUUCCGCGUGUAGCAGUGAAAUGCGUAGAUAUGCGGAGGAACACCGAUGGCGAAGGCAAUCCCCUGGACCUGUACUGACGCUCAUGCACGAAAGCGUGGGGAGCAAACAGG